GACGUAGGUGGCGAACGUUAUCCGGAAUUAUUGGGCGUAAAGGAUGCGUAGAUGGUGUAGUAAGUUAUCGGUGAUAAAUCGAGGCUCAACCUCGUGGAAGUCGGUAAUACUGUUAUGCUAGAGGAUAGGAGAGGUUAACGGAACUCCCUGUGGAGCGGUGAAAUGCGUAGAUAUAGGGAAGAACACCAAUAAAGGCGAAGGCAGUUAACUAUUCUAUUCCUGACAUUGAGGCAUGAAAGCGUGGGGAGCAAAACGG
rnacentral:rRNA from 1 species